GGGCCGUUAGCUCAGUUGGUAGAGCAGGAGACUUUUAAUCUUCGGGUCGUCGGUUCGAGCCCGACACGGCCUACCA
rnacentral:tRNA from 1 species